rnacentral:rRNA from 1 species
UACGUAGGGUGCAAGCGUUGUCCGGAAUUAUUGGGCGUAAAGAGCUCGUAGGCGGUCUGUCGCGUCGAAUGUGAAAAUCCGGGGCUCAACCCCGGACCUGCAUUCGAUACGGGCAGACUAGAGUUCGGUAGGGGAGUCUGGAAUUCCUGGUGUAGCGGUGAAAUGCGCAGAUAUCAGGAGGAACACCGAUGGCGAAGGCAGAUCUCUGGGCCGUAACUGACGCUGAGGAGCGAAAGCAUGGGGAGCGAACAGG